rnacentral:rRNA from 1 species
ACAUGCCUACAACAUAGAAUUAAUGUAGCGGAUCCCAUUAGAACUUCGCAGUUAAGCGUGCUUAGGCUAGAGUAGUACUGGGAUGGGUGACCGCUUGGGAAGUCCUAGUGUUUUACAUGCC